rfam:Danio rerio chromosome 12 genomic contig CTG1221, GRCz11 reference primary assembly.
AGCCACAGCCAUAUCACCCUGCAGCCCAAGAUCGAUUACUCAUUGAAGCUAAACAAGACGGAGCCUGGUCAGUACCUGGAUGGGAGACCACAUGGGAAAACUAGGUUGCUACCGGAA